ACCUUCGGCCAUGAUUGUAAGUUUCCUGAGGCCUUCUCCGCCUGCAGAGCUAUAAUCCUCUCUCCACAACUUGAUAAUGCACAAACUGCAAAUCUUCUGGUACUCACUGCUGCAAGCAAACUUGAAGUCUUUCUGAGCCUGACUCUUCAUUCCUGCCUUGUGUGACCCAGGGAUGGAGGACUGCCCUCCCAACUCAUUAUCCUCUUUGCCCAGGAGCUAUCUGCUUCAUCGACAUGGCAGGGAACGUGGCUGAACACAGAGGACUCAUUUUUGCAGCUUCCCUACCAGAGAGAGAGAGACACCCUUUUUACCCGAGUUCUGAGUUGAAAUAUCCUAGAAGAGAACUCUGAUUGGCCUGGCUUGGGUCACAUGCCUGUCCUUGAGUUGAUCAACUGUGAUUAGUUAUAAGUGUACUCAUUAGUAACUUCCCCUGGAACCUUAGAUUUGAUGUGGGGUAAGACUUCCAAAAACAAACAAAAAAAUAAAACAGAAGAAUGCUAUUUCUGGAGAAAAGAAUCUGAAAAAUAGAUUAACAAUAUAAAGGCAGCACAAGUAGCAAAGAGUUAAUAAGCUGUAAUUUCAGGAGCACUCCCUUAUUGUCUCAUAAUUCCUUGGACUACCUCCAAUAGUUAAGAAUCUUAGUAAUAACACUCUGAAAAAGGCAACUUGUGAAACUCACUUGAGUUUAAAUGACUGGUAGGCCAUCUCUUUUCUGAGAUCAGAACCUUUUGUUUGCAGAGGGAGAAAGAAAUAGGAUGGAGAAGGCAGACUUAGAGUGUCUGGAGGAAGUAGGAUGCAGGAAUUCUAUGCCACUGCCACUCCUUUGUCGUUUCUUGGUACCAAUUUCUCCCUGUCAAGCUGGUAGCGUUACUGAGGUAUCAAUACCACCAAUAGGGCCAUAGAGGUUGCAUAUCUCCAUCACUCACAUUAUACCCUAUAGAUUUCUAGAAUGUUUUACAACGUCAUUGUGAAUGGUGGCUUCUGGAGUUAAAUAAUGGGGCAGUCUACAUUGAUUAUCAAAUGUGCAUACUUGCUUCAUUUCAAAAGCUUUAUUUUAUUCUUAUUAUGUAUAUAAUACAUACAUCUGUGGGGAUUAGUCCUAAAAUAUCAAAAUAAAAAUAUUCCAUUAAA
ensembl:lncRNA novel transcript